rnacentral:rRNA from 1 species
AUUGAACGCUGGCGGCAGGCCUAACACAUGCAAGUCGAGCGGGGUUUUCGGACCUAGCGGCGGACGGGUGAGUAAUGCGUAGGAAGCUGCCCGAUAGAGGGGGAUACCAGUUGGAAACGACUGUUAAUACCGCAUAAUGUCUACGGACCAAAGUGUGGGACCUUCGGGCCACAUGCUAUCGGAUGCGCCUACGUGGGAUUAGCUAGUUGGUGAGGUAAUGGCUCACCAAGGCGACGAUAUCUAGCUGGUUUGAGAGGAUGAUCAGCCACACUGGAACGGAGACACGGUCCAGACUCCGACGGGAGGAAGCAGUGGGGAAUAUUGGACAAUGGGCGCAAGCCUGAUCCAGCCAUGCCGCGUGUGUGAAGAAGGCCUUCGGGUUGUAAAGCACUUUCAGCGAGGAGGAAGGGUGGUGUGUUAAUAGCACAUCAUUUUGACGUUACUCGCAGAAGAAGCACCGGCUAACUCUGUGCCAGCAGCCGCCGUAAAAC